UGGGGGAUAUUGCACAAUGGGCGAAAGCCUGAUGCAGCGACGCCGCGUGAGGGAAGACGGUUUUCGGAUUGUAAACCUCUGUCGAGGGGACGAAGUGCGUGACGGUACCCCUUGAGGAAGCCACGGCUAACUACGUGCC
rnacentral:rRNA from 1 species